GAUGAACGCUGGCGGCGUGCUUAACACAUGCAAGUCGAACGGGAAACCUUUUAUUGAAGCUUCGGCAGAUUUAGCUGGUUUCUAGUGGCGGACGGGUGAGUAACGCGUGGGUAACCUGCCUUAUACAGGGGGAUAACAACCAGAAAUGGUUGCUAAUACCGCAUAAGCGCACAGGACCGCAUGGUCCGGUGUGAAAAACUCCGGUGGUAUAAGAUGGACCCGCGUUGGAUUAGCUAGUUGGCAGGGUAACGGCCUACCAAGGCGACGAUCCAUAGCCGGCCUGCGAGGGUGAACGGCCACAUUGGGACUGAGACACGGCCCAGACUCCUACGGGAGGCAGCAGUGGGGAAUAUUGCACAAUGGGGGAAAACCUGAUGCAGCGACGCCGCGUGAAGGAAGAAGUAUCUAGGUAUGUAAACUUCUAUCAGCAGGGAAGAUAGUGACGGUACCUGACUAAGAAGCCCCGGCUAACUACGUG
rnacentral:rRNA from 1 species